CAGUAGCCGCGGUAAUACGAAGGGGGCUAGCGUUGCUCGGAUUUACUGGGCGUAAAGGGCGCGUAGGCGGACAGUUAAGUUGGGGGUGAAAGCCCGGGGCUCGACCUCGGAAUUGCCUUCAAUACUGGCUGUCUUGAGUACGGGAGAGGUGUGUGGAACUCCGAGUGUAGAGGUGAAAUUCGUAGAUAUUCGGAAGAACACCAGUGGCGAAGGCGACACACUGGCCCGUUACUGACGCUGAGGCGCGAAAGCGUGGGGAGCAAACAGGAUUAGAUACCCCUGUAGUCCCUGUCUCUUAUAC
rnacentral:rRNA from 1 species